AAUAGAUACCCAGGUAGUCCACGCCGUAAACGAUGAAUACUAGGCGUAGGGGUUGUCAUGACCUCUGUGCCGCCGCUAACGCAUUAAGUAUUCCGCCUGGGGAGUACGGUCGCAAGAUUAGAACUCAAAGGAAUUGACGGGGGCCCGCACAAGCAGCGGAGCAUGUGGUUUAAUUCGAAGCAACGCGAAGAACCUUACCUAGACUUGACAUCUCCUGCAUUACCCUUAAUCGGGAAAGUUCCUUCGGGGACAGGAAGACAGGUGGUGCAUGGUUGUCGUCAGCUCGUGUCGUGAGAUGUUGGGUUAAGUCUCGCAACGAGCGCAACCCUUAUUGUUAGUUGCUACCAUUUAGUUGAGCACUCUAGCGAGACUGCCCGGGUUAACCGGGAGGAAGGUGGGGAUGACGUCAAAGUCAUCAUGCCCCUUAUGUCUAGGGCUACACACGUGCUACAAUGGCAAGUACAAAGAGACGCAAUACCGCGAGGUGGAGCAAAACUCAAAAACUUGUCUCAGUUCGGAUUGUAGGCUGAAACUCGCCUAC
rnacentral:rRNA from 1 species